UACGAAGGGGGCUAGCGUUGUUCGGAUUCAUUGGGCGUAAAGGGUGCGUAGGCGGCGCGGUAAGUCGGGUGUGAAAUCUCGGGGCUUAACUCCGAAACUGCAUUCGAUACUGCCGUGCUUGAGGACUGGAGAGGAGACUGGAAUUUACGGUGUAGCGGUGAAAUGCGUAGAUAUCGUAAGGAAGACCAGUGGCGAAGGCGGGUCUCUGGACAGUUCCUGACGCUGAGGCACGAAGGUCAGGGGAGCAAACGGG
rnacentral:rRNA from 1 species